GACGAACGCUGGCGGCGUGCUUAACACAUGCAAGUCGAACGGAAAGGCCCUGCUUUUGUGGGGUGCUCGAGUGGCGAACGGGUGAGUAACACGUGAGUAACCUGCCCUUGACUUUGGGAUAACUUCAGGAAACUGGGGCUAAUACCGGAUAGGAGCUCCUGCUGCAUGGGGGGGGUUGGAAAGUUUCGGCGGUUGGGGAUGGACUCGCGGCUUAUCAGCUUGUUGGUGGGGUAGUGGCUUACCAAGGCUUUGACGGGUAGCCGGCCUGAGAGGGUGACCGGCCACAUUGGGCCUGAGAUACGGCCCAGACUCCUACGGGAGGCAGCAGUGGGGAAUAUUGCACAAUGGGCGGAAGCCUGAUGCAGCAACGCCGCGUGCGGGAUGACGGCCUUCGGGUUGUAAACCGCUUUCGCCUGUGACGAAGCGUGGGUGACGGUAAUGGGUAAAGAAGCACCGGCUAACUACGUG
rnacentral:rRNA from 1 species